rnacentral:rRNA from 1 species
CCCGCCUACGGGGCGCAGCAGUGGGGAAUAUUGCACAAUGGGGGAAACCCUGAUGCAGCGACGCCGCGUGAGUGAAGAAGUAUCUCGGUACGUAAAGCUCUAUCAGCAGGGAAGAAAAUGACGGUACCUGACCAAGAAGCCCCGGCUAACUACGUGCCAGCAGCCGCGGUAAUACGUAGGGGGCAAGCGUUAUCCGGAUUUACUGGGUGUAAAGGGGGCGCAGACGGCGAUGCAAGCCAGGAGGGAAAGCCCGGGGCCCACCCCCGGGUCUGCUCUUGGAACUGCGUGGCGAGAGCGCAGGAGGG